rfam:Salmo salar isolate Sally breed double haploid chromosome ssa20, whole genome shotgun sequence.
UGCAUGCAUGUCUGUAAGUCGCUUUGGAUAAAGUGUCUGCUAAAUUGCAUGUA